GCAAGUUAUAUAAAUAUUUUAGCUACAAAAGCCAAAGUUUCAAAAUAAAAUUAUUUUUCAAAAUCGAUUUGAGCUAGACUAUAUAGCUGUAUGAUAACAUAAAAUAAUGAUGAAGAUUGAUGUUAUUCUUUACUGUACCGUACCAGGUUCCAGAAAACAUGAAGUCUGUAGUAAUCUACCCCCAUGUCAGUGUAGAGAGGCCUGUUCAUGAAGACACAAAAUCAUUCGACGACACCAAAACAUAUUACACAGUGUAGAUGGACGGAUAGAAAGCGUGAACAUCAAAAGCCAUCGUGUGUGUUACCCAGUUUCCAUUCUGCAUCUAACAAUAGCAACAAAGCAUCCAACAUCAUAACUUUAUUAUUAUAUAGUCCAGGCAAUGAAUACUCAAAAGAGGGUAUAGAGAGAAAAGUUUGGAAGACUAUUUGACCCCGCAAUUUCGUUUUGGGUAUUAAGGAGGUAAAAAUAUCCCCACCCCUACCCCUUGUGCUAAGGGGGUGGGGUGGUUCAAAGGUACAAUUUUUUGGUUUCUCGCAUAUAACUCGAAAACUAUGUAUCUUACGGACAUAACUGUUACAUACAAAAGUAAAGCUUAUAUAAUUUCCUACAAUAUUCAUCUCACAACUUUUCUAGUUUUCGAGAUAUCCGCUCUCAAAUGUGUGACAUUU